UACGGAAGGUGCAAGCGUUGUUCGGAAUCAUUGGGCGUAAAGCGCGUGUAGGCGGCUUGGCAAGUCAGUUGUGAAAGCCCGGGGCCCAACCCCGGAACUGCAUCUGAAACUGCUUGGCUCGAGUCCCGGAGAGGAAGGCAGAAUUCCCGGUGUAAGGGUGAAAUCCGUAGAUAUCGGGAGGAAUACCAGCGGCGAAGGCGGCCUUCUGGACGGUGACUGACACUGAGACGCGAAAGCGUGGGGAGCAAACAGG
rnacentral:rRNA from 1 species